rnacentral:rRNA from 1 species
AUGUUGCGUAAAGGGAAAGGUCGUAUUCAAACCCUUCAGCCACGCGAGCGCUAAGUCAGCCACGAAUUGGCUAGCCCGACUAACGGAGGGUAUGACUCCACGGAGGGUGUAAGACCCGUAUGGGCGCGUGUUAAAGCUGGACGGGGAAGGCCUCUGUUCCCUGAGAGUCGCGUUGCUCUGGCAUGCAGCGCUAAGCAGGUCGUAAACUCGAUCUAAGGCUAAAUAUAUCCACAGGACCGAUAGCGAACAAGUACCGUGAGGGAAAGUUGAAAAGCACUCUGAAGAGAGAGUCAAAAGACCGUGAAACCGCUCAGAGUAUAAGCCCAUGGAGUUCGGAAGGCAUACCGCCGUCGAGCAAUUGGCGACAUGAAAGAAAGGUCGAUCAGGAAGGGGGCAUCAUCAUCCCUCUCCCGUCGUGCUGGGGAGUGCGUGGGCGUGAGACUACGGUGUAGCGUCCUCCUCUCUCUCAGUCGCGGGUCGUCAAGGUUACAUGUCGAAGGCGGGAACUGCCCACCACGGCUCGUUGUGAGGUCACCCACAGGCUCAACUGUCCAUUGCGUGUUCUCCUCGCUUAGCACUCGAGUGUCGUUGAUCCACCCCAUCAUGAGGCGGGUGUGGCUAGACACGCGCGGCGAGGCUGGCUCAAAACGAACCGAACGACGACCGAGAAAAAACCUGGUACGAUCCUCGUGCGACGAGCCGCUUUCUGGCCAGAAUUGCAUCCAGGCCUCGUCUCAUUUGCCGAGCGAGGCUCCAUUCAAAAAGGGGCGGCUUGUGUCCUCUGCCGUCUU